rnacentral:rRNA from 1 species
UACGGAGGGGGCAAGCGUUAUUCGGAAUUAUUGGGCGUAAAGGGCGCGUAGGCGGCCAUUCAAGUGACGGGUGAAAGCCCUCGGCUUAACCGAGGAACUGCCUGUCAGACUGGAUGGCUUGAGACCGGGAGAGGUGAGUGGAAUUCCCAGUGUAGCGGUGAAAUGCGUAGAUAUUGGGAAGAACACCGGUGGCGAAGGCGGCGCUCUGGACCGAGACUGACGCUGAGGCGCGAAAGCGUGGGGAGCGAACAGG